UCGGGCUCGAACGCAGUCGCCCGGCUCGCCCAAGGCAUUUCGCCCAAGUGCUGC
rnacentral:ncRNA from 1 species